AACCAUAGAAACCUGCGGAGUACCUGCGGAAGGAUCAUUACCGAGUUAUACAACUCAUCAACCCUGUGAACAUACCUAUAACGUUGCCUCGGCGGGAACAGACGGCCCCGUAACACGGGCCGCCCCCGCCAGAGGACCCCCUAACUCUGUUUCUAUAAUGUUUCUUCUGAGUAAACAAGCAAAUAAAUUAAAACUUUUAACAACGGAUCU
rnacentral:misc_RNA from 1 species